UACGGGGGGUGCGAGCGUUGUCCGGAAUCACUGGGCGUAAAGGGCGCGUAGGUGGCGUCGUAAGUUUGUGGUGAAAGCCUGGGGCUCAACCCCAGGUCUGCCGCGAAUACUGCGAGGCUUGAGUACUGUAGAGGCAGGUAGAAUAUCGGGUGUAGCGGUGGAAUGCGUAGAGAUCCGAUAGAAGACCGGUGGCGAAGGCGGCCUGCUGGGCAGUAACUGACACUGAGGCGCGACAGCGUGGGGAGCAAACAGG
rnacentral:rRNA from 1 species